rnacentral:hammerhead_ribozyme from 1 species
GCACUGCUGACGAGUCCCAAACAGGGGCGAAACAGCUGUCCAGUGC